AUUGAACGCUGGCGGCAGGCCUAACACAUGCAAGUCGAGCGGAUGAAGGGAGCCUGCUCCUGGAUUCAGCGGCGGACGGGUGAGUAAUGCCUAGGAAUCUGCCUGGUAGUGGGGGAUAACGUCCGGAAACGGGCGCUAAUCCCGCAUACGUCCUGAGGGAGAAAGUGGGGGUUCUUCGGACCUCACGCUAUCAGAUGACCCUAGGUCGGAUUAGCUAGUUGGUGGGGUAAGGGCCUACCAAGGCGACGAUCCGUAACUGGUCUGAGAGGAUGAUCAGUCACACUGGAACUGAGACACGGUCCAGACUCCUACGGGAGGCAGCAGUGGGGAAUAUUGGACAAUGGGCGAAAGCCUGAUCCAGCCAUGCCGCGUGUGUGAAGAAGGUCUUCGGAUUGUAAAGCACUUUAAGUUGGGAGGAAGGGCAGUAAGUUAAUACCUUGCUGUUUUGACGUUACCAACAGAAUAAGCACCGGCUAACUUCGUG
rnacentral:rRNA from 1 species